rnacentral:rRNA from 1 species
GAUGAACGCUAGCUACAGGCUUAACACAUGCAAGUCGAGGGGAAACGACAUCGAAAGCUUGCUUUUGAUGGGCGUCGACCGGCGCACGGGUGAGUAACGCGUAUCCAACCUGCCCACCACUUGGGGAUAACCUUGCGAAAGUAAGACUAAUACCCGAUGAUAUCCCUAGAAGACAUCUGAAAGGGAUUAAAGAUUUAUCGGUGAUGGAUGGGGAUGCGUCUGAUUAGCUUGUUGGCGGGGUAACGGCCCACCAAGGCUACGAUCAGUAGGGGUUCUGAGAGGAAGGUCCCCCCACAUUGGAACUGAGACACGGUCCAAACUCCUACGGGAGGCAGCAGUGAGGAAUAUUGGUCAAUGGGCGAGAGCCUGAACCAGCCAAGUAGCGUGCAGGAUGACGGCCCUAUGGGUUGUAAACUGCUUUUAGUUGGGAAUAAAAGGCGGUACGUGUACCGCGUAUUGUAUGUACCAUCAGAAAAGGACCGGCUAAUUCCGUG